rnacentral:rRNA from 1 species
UACGUAGGAGGCAAGCGUUGUCCGGAAUUACUGGGCGUAAAGCGCGUGUAGGUGGUGGGACAAGUCUGCUGUGAAAGCGCCUGGCUUAACCGGGCGAGGUCGGCGGAAACUGUCGCACUCGAGGACGGUAGAGGGGGGUGGAAUUCCCGGUGUAGUGGUGAAAUUCGUAGAUAUCGGGAGGAACACCGGUGGCGAAGGCGGCGACCUGGGUCGAUACUGACGCUGAGGUGCGAAAGCGUGGGGAGCAAACAGG